rnacentral:rRNA from 1 species
UAGGGAAUCUUCCACAAUGGACGCUAGUCUGAUGGAGCAACGCCGCGUGAGUGAAGAAGGUUUUCGGAUCGUAAAGCUCGGUUGUUGGUGAAGAAGGAUAGAGGCAGUAACUGGUCUUUAGUUGACGGUAAUCAACCAGAAAGUCACGGCUAACUACGUGCCAGCAGCCGCGGUAAUAAGUAGGUGGCAAGCGUUGUCCGGAUUUAUUGGGCGUAAAGCGAGCGCAGGCGGAAUGAUAAGUCUGAUGUGAAAGCCCACGGCCCAACCGUGGAACUGCAUCGUAAACUGUCAUUCUUGAGUGCAGAAGAGGAGAGUGGAAUUCCAUGUGUAGCGGUGGAAUGCGUAGAUAUAUGGACGAGCACCAGUGGCGAAGGCGGCUCUCUGGUCUGCAACUGACGCUGAGGCGCGAAAGCAUGGGUAGCGAAGAGG